UACGUAGGGUGCGAGCGUUGUCCGGAAUUAUUGGGCGUAAAGGGCUCGUAGGCGGUUUGUCGCGUCGGGAGUGAAACACCGGGCUUAACUCGGUGCUUGCUUUCGAUACGGGCAGACUAGAGGCAUGCAGGGGAGAACGGAAUUCCUGGUGUAGCGGUGAAAUGCGCAGAUAUCAGGAGGAACACCGGUGGCGAAGGCGGUUCUCUGGGCAUGUCCUGACGCUGAGGAGCGAAAGGUGUGGGGAGCGAACAGG
rnacentral:rRNA from 1 species